GAAUUUUGGGCAAUGGCCGAAAGACUGACCCAGCGACGCCGCGUGCGGGAGGACGCCCUUCGGGGUGUAAACCGCUGUCAGAGGGGAAGAAACACCUGGACGUGAAUAGCGUCCGGAUUUGACGGUACCCUCAAAGGAAGCGCCGGCUAACUCUGUGCCAGCAGCCGCGGUAAUACAGAGGGCGCGAGCGUUGUUCGGAAUCACUGGGCGUAAAGCGCGCGCAGGCGGGACGACAAGUCUGGAGUGAAAUUCCGGGGCUCAACUCCGGGACUGCUUGGGAAACUGUCGACCUGGGGACCGGUAGAGGCCGGUGGAAUUCCCGGUGUAGCGGUGGAAUGCGUAGAGAUCGGGAAGAACACCCGUGGCGAAGGCGGCCGGCUGGGCCGGAUCCGACGCUGAGGCGCGAAAGCGUGGGGAGCAAACAG
rnacentral:rRNA from 1 species